AUGUCAGUUUCGUUAUUACAACCUUAUUUUUUUAUGUCAAAGACAAAAAGCUACGCGCAAAUUCUCAUUGGAUCUCGGUUGUUCUUAACAGCGAUGGCUAUUCAUUUAAGUCUUCGGGUAGCACCACCAGAUCUUCAACAAGGUGGAAAUUCUCGUAUUUCGUAUGUACAUGUUCCUGCGGCUCGGAUGAGUAUAGUUAUUUAUAUCGCGACAGCUAUAAACAGUUCCUUGUUCCCAUUAACAAAACAUCCCCUUUUUCUUCGCUCUUCCGGAACCGGUACAGAAAUUGGUGCUUUUUCUACUUUGUUUACGUUAGUGACUGGGGGGUUUCGGGGAAGGCCUAUGUGGGGUACCUUUCGGGUGUGGGAUGCUCGUUUAACUUCUGUAUUCAUCUUGUUCCUUAUUUACCUGGGUGCACUGCGUUUUCAAAAGCUUCCUGUCGAACCGGCUCCUAUUUCAAUCCGUGCUGGAGCGAUCGAUAUACCAAUAAUAAAGUCUCCAGUCAACUGGUGGAAUACAUCGCAUCAACCUGGGAGCAUUAGCCGAUCUGGUACAUCAAUACAUGUUCCUAUGCCCAUUCCAAUCUUGUGUAACUUUGCUAACUUCCCCUUCUCUACCCGUAUCUUGUUCGUUCUGGAAACACGUCUUCCUAUUCCAUCUUUUCCCGAAUCUCCCUUAACGGAAGAAAUAGAAGCUCGAGAAGGAAUACCACUAAAAACCUAG
rnacentral:rRNA from 1 species